GAUGAACGCUAGCGGCAGGCCUAAUACAUGCAAGUCGAACGGUGUCUUCGGACAUAGUGGCGCACGGGUGCGUAACACGUAUGCAACCUACCUUACAUUGGGGGAUAGCCUUUCGAAAGGGAGAUUAAUACCGCAUAAGACAGUAGCUGGGCAUCCAGCAGCUGUUAAAGAUUUAUCGAUGUAAGCUGGGCAUGCGUCCAAUUAGCUAGUUGGUGAGGUAACGGCUCACCAAGGCAAUGAUUGGUAGGGGAACUGAGAGGUCAAUCCCCCACACUGGAACGGAGAGACGGGCCAGACGCCGACGGGAGGCAGCAGUAGGGAAGAUUGGGCAAUGGACGCAAGUCUGACCCAGCCAUGCCGCGUGCAGGAUGAAGGCGUUAUGCGUUGUAAACUGCUUUUAUACAGGAAGAAACGACUCUUGCGAGAGGCAUUGACGGUACUGUAUGAAUAAGCACCGGCUAACUCCGUGCCAGCCGCCGCCGUAAUAC
rnacentral:rRNA from 1 species